CCAGCCAUGCCGCGUGUGUGAAGAAGGCCUUUUGGUUGUAAAGCACUUUAAGCGAGGAGGAGGCUACCGAGAUUAAUACUCUUGGAUAGUGGACGUUACUCGCAGAAUAAGCACCGGCUAACUCUGUGCCAGCAGCCGCGGUAAUACAGAGGGUGCAAGCGUUAAUCGGAUUUACUGGGCGUAAAGCGCGCGUAGGUGGCCAAUUAAGUCAAAUGUGAAAUCCCCGAGCUUAACUUGGGAAUUGCAUUCGAUACUGGUUGGCUAGAGUAUGGGAGAGGAUGGUAGAAUUCCAGGUGUAGCGGUGAAAUGCGUAGAGAUCUGGAGGAAUACCGAUGGCGAAGGCAGCCAUCUGGCCUAAUACUGACACUGAGGUGCGAAAGCAUGGGGAGCAAACAGGAUUAGAUACCCUGGUAGUCCAUGCCGUAAACGAUGUCUACUAGCCGUUGGGGCCUUUGAGGCUUUAGUGGCGCAGCUAACGCGAUAAGUAGACCGCCUGGGGAGUACGGUCGCAAGACUAAAACUCAAAUGAAUUGACGGGGGCCCGCACAAGCGGUGGAGCAUGUGGUUUAAUUCGAUGCAACGCGAAGAACCUUACCUGGUCUUGACAUAGUAAGAACUUUCCAGAGAUGGAUUGGUGCCUUCGGGAACUUACAUACAGGUGCUGCAUGGCUGUCGUCAGCUCGUGUCGUGAGAUGUUGGGUUAAGUCCCGCAACGAGCGCAACCCUUUUCCUUAUUUGCCAGCGGGUUAAGCCGGGAACUUU
rnacentral:rRNA from 1 species